UACGGGGGGGGCAAGCGUUGUUCGGAAUUACUGGGCGUAAAGGGCUCGUAGGCGGCCAACUAAGUCAGACGUGAAAUCCCUCGGCUUAACCGGGGAACUGCGUCUGAUACUGGAUGGCUUGAGGUUGGGAGAGGGAUGCGGAAUUCCAGGUGUAGCGGUGAAAUGCGUAGAUAUCGGGAGGAACACCAGUGGCGAAAGCGGCGCGCUGGACCACAACUGACGCUGAGGAACGAAAGCUAGGGGAGCAAACAGG
rnacentral:rRNA from 1 species